rnacentral:rRNA from 1 species
UCUAGGUAGAAUUAUGAUAAUGACAUUGUCUGCCUAUGUGUCUUGACCAAAUUACGUGCCAGCAGUCGCGGUAAUACGUAGAAGACUAGUGUUANUCAUGUUUAAUCGGUUUAAAGGGUACCUAGACGGUAGAUCAAGCUUUCUAAUAAAGGAAAAGGACUAAUUUACUAGAGUUACUUANGAGGGGGUAUUAAAGUACUGCUGGUGUAGAGAUGAAAUUCUGUCAUACCUCUUUUCAAAUGAAAAACCAUGGCACAGGUAUAGGCGAAGGCAUCCCCUUAUGUGAUAACUGACGUUGAGGGACGAAGGCUUUGUGUAGCGAACAGGAUUAGAUACCCCAGUAGUCGAAGCAGAAAAUGAUGAAUGUCAUAGAUUAGAUAUAUAAGUUUAUUCUAUAAANGAAAGUGUAAGCAUUCCACCUCAUGAGUAAUUUGGCAACAUUGGAACUGAAAUCAUUAGACCGUUUCUGAAACCAGUAGUGAAGUAUGUUGUUUAAUUUGAUGAUCCGCAAAAANCCUUACCACAAUUUGAAUANUUAUAUUAUUUAUUGUUUUAUUAUUAAUUUUCUUCUAAUAUAAUUUUUUAAUUAAUUAAUUAAAAAAUGAUAAUAGNAAGAAAAUUAAUAAAGAGGCAAUAAGAUAUAUUUACAAGCGUUGCACGGCUGUCUUCAGUUAAUGUCGCGAGACUUUGGUUAGUUCCAUUAAAUUAANGUAAACCCUUA